rnacentral:lncRNA from 1 species
CCAACAACACCUUGGUGCGGUCUGUUAAACUCUGUUACGCGAAACCAUAAGUUGUCUCGAUCGUGACACACUGUGUGCAUGGUAUUUGCCCGCGCCUUGGCCUUGUUAAUUUCUUGAACUACCUUACUGCACCAUACAUGGCCUCCCUGCAUCUGGCCUGCAUAACUUGCUGCUCGCUUUGGAAAUAGCGCUGCCAAAUGAAAAUAUGUCUCUCGCACAACCGAUGUUAUCGGUAGAUGACGCGUUCCUUUAAGAACAUAAUUUAUGCAUUUAGCCAGGUUUGACGUCAUAUGGCCAUAUCGUAGCCGCCGUUGUAUGCUUGUGCCCACUGUUCGAAACGUAUGUUACAAAGGUAGUCCGCCCCUUCUCCGUUAAUUGAACGUAAAAUUGCCAAUAUUUCGUGAAAA